AUUAUGUGGGUGCAAAAGUAAUUGCGGGUUUUGCCAUUAUACUUUUGCACCUACAAUUUAUUAUUUGAAUGAUGCC
rnacentral:miRNA from 1 species